rnacentral:rRNA from 1 species
GUCCACGCCGUAAACGAUGAAUACUAGGUGUCUGGGAGCACAGCUCUUAGGUGCCGCCGCAAACGCAUUAAGUAUUCCACCUGGGGAGUACGUUCGCAAGAAUGAAACUCAAAAGGAAUUGACGGGGACCCGCACAAGCGGUGGAGCAUGUGGUUUAAUUCGAAGCAACGCGAAGAACCUUACCAAAUCUUGACAUCCCUCUGACCGGGACUUAACCGUCCCUUUCCUUCGGGACAGGGGAGACAGGUGGUGCAUGGUUGUCGU